rnacentral:rRNA from 1 species
AAUCUUCCACAAUGGACGGAAGUCUGAUGGAGCAACGCCGCGUGAGCGAAGCAGGUUUUCGAAUCGUAAAGCUCUGUUGUAAGGGACGAACACGUACGGGAGUAACUGCACGCACAUUGACGGUACCGUAUCAGAAAGCCACUGCUCACUACGUGACAGCAGCCGCGGUAAUUCGUAGGUGCCAAGCGUUGUCCGGAAUUAUUGGGCGUAAAGCGCGCGCAGGCGGUCCUUUAAGUCUGAUGUGAAGGCCCACGGCUCAACCGUGGAGGGUCAUUGGAAACUGGAGGACUUGAGUACAGAAGAGGAAAGCGGAAUUCCACGUGUAGCGGUGAAAUGCGUAGAGAUGUGGAGGAACACCAGUGGCGAAGGCGGCUUUCUGGUCUGUAACUGACGCUGAGGCGCGAAAGCGUGGGGAGCAAACA